CAGUAGCCGCGGGAAUACAGAGGGUGCGAGCGUUAAUCGGAUUUACUGGGCGUAAAGCGUGCGUAGGCGGCUUUUUAAGUCGGAUGUGAAAUCCCUUAGCUUAACUUAGGAAUUGCAUUCGAUACUGGGAAGCUAGAGUAUGGGAGAGGAUGGUAGAAUUCCAGGUGUAGCGGUGAAAUGCGUAGAGAUCUGGAGGAAUACCGAUGGCGAAGGCAGCCAUCUGGCCUAAUACUGACGCUGAGGUACGAAAGCAUGGGGAGCAAACAGGAUUAGAUACCCGCGUAGUCCCUGUCUCUUAUAC
rnacentral:rRNA from 1 species